UACGUAGGGUGCGAGCGUUGUCCGGAAUUACUGGGCGUAAAGAGCUCGUAGGUGGUUUGUCGCGUUGUUCGUGAAAACUCACAGCUUAACUGUGGGCGUGCGGGCGAUACGGGCAGACUGGAGUACUGCAGAGGAGACUGGAAUUCCCGGUGUAGCGGUGAAAUGUGUAGAGAUCGGGAGGAACACCGGUGGCGAAGGCGGGUCUCUGGGCAACUCCUGACGCUGAGGCGCGAAAGCGUGGGGAGCAAACGGG
rnacentral:rRNA from 1 species